UGUUCUUUUGCAUUCAUUUUCUGUGCUUGUCUUUCUGUUUAGGCAGGUUUUAGAACUGAAGAAGGAGAACACUGAACUCAAGAAGCCACUUUCCCAGAGGAGGCCAUCACCUGGGAAAUGUAAUGCCAAUAGGUAAUUCUUAUUGUAUAUGCAUACAGUGUUGCAGUAUACUCCCAGUAUAUAUUAACAUCACUUGUAUAAUUAUAUAGUGUGCCUAACAUUUAUGCUGUUAAGAACACAUGCAACAGAAUAUUUCUUUGGUUAUUUGGUAAUGUGUAGCGCGAUUCCAAGGAUGACUCUGCCAGUGGCUGUCACAUCACCAGGUACUUAGAGGCACAAAGGUCUGAUGUGCAUUGCUUUGGCCAAAGAAAUGUAAGGAGAAAUGGCAUUGAUGGGUGAAACAGCAUUAAUAUUUAGGACAAAGAGAAUUGAUGGGAGAAACGGCAUUGAAAUGGCAUUAAUGUUUAGGAGAAACGGCAUUACUUUGUGUUAUUAGCUCUCUUUUCCUUUCCCAGUCACUCCUCGCUCCAGGGCUGUAAGUCUUUCAUACUCUGCUGAUACUAUGGAGAGGUUUCGACAAUCCCGAUCCAGCUUGAUGACUCCACCAGGUUCAGCCACCCCAGUGUCAUCCGCAGGGUCGUUGCACGAACAUGGAUUUAGGACACCCAGCUCUGUUAAC
ensembl:lncRNA